UAGGGAAUCUUCCGCAAUGGACGCAAGUCUGACGGAGCAACGCCGCGUGAGUGAAGAAGGAUUUCGGUUCGUAAAACUCUGUUGUUAGAGAAGAACAGCGCAUAGAGUAACUGUUAUGCGUGUGACGGUAUCUAACCAGAAAGCCACGGCUAACUACGUGCCAGCAGCCGCGGUAAUACGUAGGUGGCAAGCGUUGUCCGGAUUUAUUGGGCGUAAAGCGAGCGCAGGCGGUCAAUUAAGUCUGAUGUGAAAGCCCCCGGCUCAACCGGGGAGGGUCGUUGGAAACUGGUUGACUUGAGUGCAGAAGAGGAGAGUGGAAUUCCAUGUGUAGCGGUGAAAUGCGUAGAUAUAUGGAGGAACACCAGUGGCGAAGGCGACUCUCUAGUCUGUAACUGACGCUGAGGUUCGAAAGCGUGGGUAGCAAACAGG
rnacentral:rRNA from 1 species